UGGGGAAUUUUGGACAAUGGGCGCAAGCCUGAUCCAGCAAUGCCGCGUGCAGGAUGAAGGCCUUCGGGUUGUAAACUGCUUUUGUACGGAACGAAACGGCGAGCUCUAAUACAGUUUGCUAAUGACGGUACCGUAAGAAUAAGCACCGGCUAACUACGUG
rnacentral:rRNA from 1 species